rnacentral:rRNA from 1 species
CAUGAUUUAGCCAGUACCCCCAAGCAAAGAGACCUUUAGUUUGAUACCCCGAAACCAGGUGAGCUACCCCGAGACAGCCUAUGUUAAUUUAGGGCUAACCCGUCUCUGUGGCAAAAGAGUGGGAAGAGCUCCGGGUAGAAGUGAAAGACCUACCGAACCUGGUGAUAGCUGGUUGACUGAGAAAUGGAUAGAAGUUCAGCCUCACACACCCCGAACCAAAGAAUAUUAUCACCAAGAUAUUUAGGGAAAAGUGCGAGAGUUAGUUGAAAGGGGUACAGCCCUUUUAACAAAGGAUACAACCUUAACAGGAGGAUAAAGAUCAUAAUAUAUAAGAUAUACUGUUCUAGUGGGCCUGAAAGCAGCCACCUAAGCAGAAAGCGUUAAAGCUCGGACAGAAAGAAGUUUAUUAUACAGAUAAAAAAUCUUAUUCCCCUAACUAUAUCAGACCAACCCAUGCCCGCAUGGAAGAGAUUAUGCUAAAAUGAGUAAUAAGAAGACCCGCUCUUCUCCCAGCACAAGUGUAAACCAGAUCGGACCAACCACUGGAACUUAACGAACCCAACCCAAGAGGGUAGUGUGAUUAACAAAAAACUCAAGAAGACCUCACAUUAGCUAAUCGUUAACCCCACACUGGAGUGCUUUUUUAAGGGAAAGACUAAAAGAAGGGGAAGGAACUCGGCAAACACAAGCCUCGCCUGUUUACCAAAAACAUCGCCUCCUGCAACUAAACUGAGUAUAGGAGGUCCAGCCUGCCCAGUGACUACGGGUUCAACGGCCGCGGUAUCUUGACCGUGCAAAGGUAGCGCAAUCACUUGUCUCUUAAAUAGAGACCUGUAUGAAUGGCUAGACGAGGGCUUAACUGUCUCCCCCCUCCAGUCAGUGAAAUUGAUCUAUCCGUGCAGAAGCGGGUAUAAAUAUACAAGACGAGAAGACCCUUUGGAGCUUAAGGUACAAAGUACAACCACGUUAAACAACUCUAUAAGAAGCAAGAACUUAAUGGUAAUGAAUUUUUACCUUCGGUUGGGGCGACCGCGGAGGAAAAACAAGCCUCCGAGUGGACUGGGCCUAACCCCUGAAGCCAAUAGAGACAUCUAUGGACCGCAGAACAUCUGACCAAAAAUGAUCCGGCUAAAAAGCCGACCAACGAACCAAGUUACCCAAGGGAUAACAGCGCAAUCCCCUCCCAGAGCCCAUAUCUACGAGGGGGUUUACGACCUCGAUGUUGGAUCAGGACAUCCUAAUGGUGCAGCCGCUAUUAAGGGUUCGUUUGUUCAACGAUUAAAGUCC